CCGCCUGCUGGUGGAGCUCCGCCAGAACUGACAUAGACUCGUCCAGCCUCCAGGUGCACCCAUGCCCUUUUCUUGCACCAUGAAGCUGAGCAGCCUGUCUCUACUCUCUGUGACUGUCCUCCUUGGCCUCCGCAUGGUUCAGCCUGGAAUCCUGAAGAGUGUCUGCACCGAAACCUGGAUAUUGCCCAGAGUUUACUCUAUCCUGCCCUUUCACCCUCUUACCUGUGUGCUGGCACGAUAAAGCCUGCAUGGGGGUCGAGAAGUAUUGCUUCUUCAACUGUCAACAUCAGUGUACAGAGCCCUGGUGGACUUUGGAUUGAGGUGGAACCUCCUUAGCCAAGCCUGAGGAGACGCCGGUGCUACAGGCUCAGAUUUGGAUAACUGGUCUCCAAUUUGUCCAUGAUCUUCCCAGGCCCAAGAUGUCAUUUUAGAGUUAAAUGCUUGUUAAUAUGACAAGAAGACAAAGAGAUAAAGCAUUGUAUAUUUAAAACCACAGAAAAAUCUGUAAGACUG
rnacentral:sRNA from 1 species